AGUCGAGGGGCAGCAUAAUGGAUAGCAAUAUCUAUGGUGGCGACCGGCGCACGGGUGCGUAACGCGUAUGCGACCUACCUUUAACAGGGGGAUAACACUGAGAAAUUGGUACUAAUACCCCAUAAUAUCAUAGAAGGCAUCUUUUAUGGUUGAAAAUUCCGAUGGUUAGAGAUGGGCAUGCGUUGUAUUAGCUAGUUGGUGGGGUAACGGCUCACCAAGGCGACGAUACAUAGGGGGACUGAGAGGUUAACCCCCCACACUGGUACUGAGACACGGACCAGACUCCUACGGGAGGCAGCAGUGAGGAAUAUUGGUCAAUGGACGCAAGUCUGAACCAGCCAUGCCGCGUGCAGGAUGACGGCUCUAUGAGUUGUAAACUGCUUUUGUACGAGGGUAAACGCAGAUACGUGUAUCUGUCUGAAAGUAUCGUACGAAUAAGGAUCGGCUAACUCCGUGCCAGCAGCCGCGGUAAUACGGAGGAUUCAAGCGUUAUCCGGAUUUAUUGGGUUUAAAGGGUGCGUAGGCGGUUUGAUAAGUUAGAGGUGAAAUUUCGGGGCUCAACCCUGAACGUGCCUCUAAUACUGUUGAGCUAGAGAGUAGUUGCGGUAGGCGGAAUGUAUGGUGUAGCGGUGAAAUGCUUAGAGAUCAUACAGAACACCGAUUGCGAAGGCAGCUUACCAAACUAUAUCUGACGUUGGGGCACGAAAGCGUGGGGAGCAAACAGGAUUAGAUACCCUGGUAGUCCACGCAGUAAACGAUGAUAACUCGUUGUCGGCGAUACACAGUCGGUGACUAAGCGAAAGCGAUAAGUUAUCCACCUGGGGAGUACGUUCGCAAGAAUGAAACUCAAAGGAAUUGACGGGGG
rnacentral:rRNA from 1 species